rnacentral:lncRNA from 1 species
GAUGAGAUUCCGAUCUUUUAAACUAAGAUAAUUUAUGUUCUAUACAUAAUUAAAUCUUUUUUACAUAACUCUAAAAUCUCGGACUUGAUUCUUUAUAUUUUAUUAGUUAAUUAUGUUACAUAUAAUAGAAAUGCCUACUUCAAACUAAAAAUAUAAAAAAAAAAACAAAUUUAAAAAUUAGUUAUAUAUAAUUUAACAUACAAAAAUUCACAUACAAAUAAAAAAUUAUAAAUGUAACAAGUUUAAAUAUAUUAUCCGCGCGUAGCGCGGAGAAAGGAUCUAGUUAUAUCUUAAAACACUUAUAUACCAUGGCUGAAAGUGGGUAAAAUCCAUGGUAUAACAAUUCUCCCAGACUUACCAUUUUGCUUGUUCUCAAGCAAAACAAACAGGCAGUCUCUCUGAAAGAGGUUUGAAAACAGCAGGAACUAACAUGAUUUAAAACUUAGAAUCAUCACCUCCGUAAUAUUGAAAUCCACAUCUUAGAAGUCCUAAUCGCAAAAGCACAAUACAAUAUCCUAGCUUAGCAACCAAAUUCACCUAGCCAACAACUUACCAAAUCAUGUCUGACAUUCCCC